GCUUGGGGGGCUUUAAGGAAGCAAAUGGACUUUCAGAACAGAGAUUGUCAAUAAAGGUGUUGUGCCAUGUUAAAGACCCUCUUGUCAUUUUUAUUAUUCAUGGAUGGACGCUAAUUCUACAAGUCAGUUUAAGUGCUAUGGAGUCCCAUUUGCACCUGGAAUGCUGGGAACAGGGGAUGGAGCAGCAAGAAGCAAUUGAAAGGAUUAGGAUGGAACCUUCCUCAAGCUUCACAGGCUUGUCUGCUGGCCACAGACACCAUUAUGGUAUAAGAUAUGUUUAAUAUUAAGACCAUAAAAAGGGCCUUCACACUCCUGAAAAUUCUGAGGAAAUGCUGAGCCUUUCUUUAGCCCAUAUACUUCACUCUGUUGGCCCAGGAAUCUUGGCUAAAGAUAGUUUCAUCCAGCUCACAUGCUUGGGUUUUGUCACUUCAUGUCAUAACCUCCACAUUACUUAAAUAUAGUUUUAAAAUGCAUUAAACAGAAAUGCUGAUAUAAGCCUAAAUGUAGCUGUACUUGCUGUUUCUGCUCUAAGUUCAUUCAUGUGGUGGAUUUAGUUCAAAAGCCCAGAACAGCCCUGCUUAACAGUAAGGAAACAAAAUCCUCUUGGCCUCAACAGAGGCUAGGGAGAUGUCAGAGCAGAGGGAACUCA